rnacentral:rRNA from 1 species
UACGGGGGGAGCAAGCGUUGUUCGGAUUUACUGGGCGUAAAGGGCGCGUAGGCGGCGUGACAAGUCACUUGUGAAAUCUCCGGGCUUAACUCGGAACGGUCAAGUGAUACUGUCGUGCUAGAGUACAGAAGGGGCAACUGGAAUUCUCGGUGUAGCGGUGAAAUGCGUAGAUAUCGAGAGGAACACCUGCGGCGAAGGCGGGUUGCUGGGCUGAUACUGACGCUGAGGCGCGAAAGCUAGGGGAGC